CCAAUCCAAGGCAAUUCCAAGGUGGUGGGGGACAGCGGCAGUUAUAAAACUGUUCACACAGUCCUCAAUAACCACAAAUACUAUUAUAAUAGUAAAAAUAAAAUCUAGGACAUCUAGAAACUUCCUCCUUGAUAUUAAUUUUAAAUACCAAAUAUCUAAUUGUCUUCCAAUUAAGUAAUUUCCCUUAUAAAUAAUAAUGAUAGUGUCUCCAAUAUGCCAGGCACAUAUUCUUUACAUCACAUAACCAAUACAACAAUCCUAGGACAUGGGCAUUAUCUCUAUUUUAGGAAGGAGUAUAAUAAUCAGUGAAGUUUUAAAUCUUACCCAAGGCCAGGAACAGUGACUCAUGCCUGUAAUCCCAGCACUUUGAGAGGCCAAGGCGGGCAGAUCACAUAAGGCCAAGAAUUCAAGACCAGCCUGGCCAAUAUGGUGAAACCCUAUCUCUACUAAAAAUACAAAAAUUGGUCAGGUGUGAUGGUUCACACCUGUAAUCCCACCUACUCAGGAGGCUGAGGCAAGAGAAUCACUUGAACCCGGGAGGCGGAGGUUACAGAGAGCUGAGGUUGCACCACUGCACUCCAGCCUGGGAGACAGAGAGAAACCUUGUCUCAAAAAAAAAAAAAAAAUUUACCCAAGAUAAAUUAAGAAGUGGUGGCACUGUUAUCUAAACCCAAGACAAUCCUAUUCCAAAUCCUUGCCUUUUUUAUACAAUGCCAUCAAUAUAUUGCCUCUCAAUAAUAAGUUAAUUUUCAGUGUGUUCCCAGCACUAUAUGAAUGAAUGAGACUCAUUAUUUCAUCUAAUUCCUAUAAUACUCUUGCAAGGUAAUUAUUAGCCAUAUUUUUUUUUUAUUUGAGAAAAGACUCCUAACAGUUAAGUAACUUGGCCAACGUCAUACAGCUAACUUAAUAACGGGACAUGCAGGGAUCCCACCCUAAGUCGCUUGAUACAAAGCCUAAGUUUCUACCAUUGUAUUAUGCAGCCUCCACCUUAUAUUAUUUACAAUAAUUGUAAUUUAGGCAUAAUUUAUAAAUUAUUAGUUUACUGUUGACAAUGCUACAUAAAAAUGCAUGUUACUAACAACAAACUGUUAAAAUGCAUAUUUUAUAUUUUUUCAGAAAAAAACUGGAAAAACACACAAAUAAAAAAUCUUAUAUUUAUGAGUGAUAAGAUUACUGGUAAAUUUUUUUAUUUCUGUUUUUCUGGUUUUUCCUUAAUUAUGAUAUAUAACUUACCAAAAGUUAAUUUUUUUCUUAGCAUUCAUUUAACAUUUUAUAUUUUUAGUUAUGCCUAUCUGCCUUAACUAAAUAUAACUUUUGCUAAAAAAUAUUGGGUUAAAUGGGAACAUUAACUGAGGAAAGUAAUAUAAAGAAAAAUGUUUUAGAGUACACACAAAAAAGCUACAUUUCAGGACAGGUAUGUUUCUUUCUGUUUUCUGGAACCUAUCAAAACUAAAUUCUGAUUGUAAAACAUGAUAAAGUUUAAUAUAACUGCAGAGUUGAACAAACAGACGAACAACAAAGAAAAAUACGUC
rnacentral:lncRNA from 10 species